rnacentral:rRNA from 1 species
UGCGUCGGGUGCGAGCGUUAAUCGGAAUUACUGGGCGUAAAGCGUGCGCAGGCGGUUUGGUAAGACAGAUGUGAAAUUCCCGGGCUUAACCUGGGAACUGCAUUUGUGCCUGCCAGGCUAGAGUGCGGCAGAGGGGAGUGGAAUUCCGCGUGUAGCAGUGAAAUGCGUAGAUAUGCGGAGGAACACCGAUGGCGAAGGCAACUCCCUGGGCCUGCACUGACGCUCAUGCACGAAAGCGUGGGGAGCAAACAGG